CAAGAGAUAGCAUGUUGAGUUUGGGGAAUUGCAGUCAAAACAGGCACCCCAAGUUUCUACAGUCCUCUAAAUGAGCCAUGAGGUAGCUGUAGAAACAUACAGAUUCCACUUCACUGGCAUCUGAGAUGCUCGUAAACAAGUAGUGAUUCCUGUCUAGACGGCUAGUUGGUAUAGUAGAUAGACCACUGGUCCUGGAUUCAGGAAGAUAUAAGUUCAAAUCUGGCCUCAGUCACUUAACCUCUGUCUGACUGAGUUUCCUCAACUACAUAGCGGGGAUAAUAAUGACAUCUACCUAACAGGAUUGUUAUGAGAAUCAAGUGAGAUAAUAUUUAUAAAACACUUAGCAUAGUGUCUAGUACACAGUAGGCACUUAAUAAAUGCUUUUUCCUUCCUUUCCUUUCUAUCACUCAGGCUGCAGCACAAGUGAUGGUAACUAAGGCUGGUGACAUGAACAUUUGAGUCAGAAGAGUUUCUUGCUUUUAGGGUCCAGGGAUUGCAUAGAAUGUAUAGUCCAAACCUAUGUUACAUAUGAUUUUCAUGUCAAACUAUAAAUGACUUUUAUUACCUUCCCAACCGCACCUUACAAAAAAUUUCACAAAUGAAAACAUCAAAUGCUCAUAGAAGCCAAUGCAUCUACUUUAUGGAGACAAAAAUUCAGGAAAAAUUGAACAGAAGUGCUUGCUGCAUUUCGUCCCAGUUCCCAUGGGGCCAUCUCCAGUCGUCUUGAUCCA
rnacentral:lncRNA from 1 species